rnacentral:rRNA from 1 species
CCUGCAUGAAGUUGGAAUUGCUAGUAAUCGCGAAUCAGAAUGUCGCGGUGAAUACGUUCCCGGGCCUUGUACACACCGCCCGUCACACCAUGAGAGUCGAUAACACCCGAAGCCUGUGAGCUAACCUUUUAGGAGGCAGCAGUCGAAGGUGGGGUUGAUGAUUGGGGUGAAGUCGUAACAAGGUACC